UGGGGAAUAUUGGACAAUGGGCGAAAGCCUGAUCCAGCCAUGCCGCGUGUGUGAAGAAGGUCUUCGGAUUGUAAAGCACUUUAAGUUGGGAGGAAGGGCAUUAACCUAAUACGUUAGUGUUUUGACGUUACCGACAGAAUAAGCACCGGCUAACUCUGUGCCAGCAGCCGCGGUAAUACAGAGGGUGCAAGCGUUAAUCGGAAUUACUGGGCGUAAAGCGCGCGUAGGUGGUUUGUUAAGUUGGAUGUGAAAUCCCCGGGCUCAACCUGGGAACUUCAUUCAAAACUGACUGACUAGAGUAUGGUAGAGUGUGGUGGAAUUUCCUGUGUAGCGGUGAAAUGCGUAGAUAUAGGAAGGAA
rnacentral:rRNA from 1 species